UUAAACUAGGGAAAUAGAUUGCCAAAAAUUACAUUUGCUUUAAGUUUAAAUGGGCAACCUGAUGGGGUUAUAUGAAUUCUUUUCUGUACUAUGAAAAAAUGAAGUUGCUAAUAAGAAGGAGGUACAAAAGUGUGUACUCUGCGCAAGGCUACUGAUAAAGAUGCUACAGGGAUGCGUGGAAACCCAAUAUGUAACACUGAAAUGGCUUUUGAUUCAUUUGUAUUUGGUCUCAGACAAGAAAAUAGAUUAAGAAAAGGUCUGAAAAAAUGGAGC
rnacentral:lncRNA from 1 species